rnacentral:rRNA from 1 species
GUUAAGUGACUAAGCGUAUACGGUGGAUGCCUUGGCAGUUAGAGGCGAUGAAGGACGUGUAAGUCUGCGAAAAGCUGUGGUGAGCCGACAAAAUGCAUUUGAGCCACAGAUGUCCGAAUGGGGAAACCCACCUGUUUACAGGUAUCGUUACAUGAAUACAUAGUGUAACGAGGCGAACGAGGGGAACUGAAACAUCUAAGUACCCUUAGGAAAAGAAAUCAACCGAGAUUCCCCUAGUAGCGGCGAGCGAACGGGGAGCAGCCCUUAAGCUGUAUAGAGUGUAGUGGAAUCCUUUGGGAAGAGGAGCGAUACAGGGUGAUAGCCCCGUACACGACGCAAUCUUUACAGUGAAAUCGAGUAGGUCGGGACACGUGUUAUCUUGACUGAAUAUGGGGGGACCAUCCUCCAAGGCUAAAUACUCCUAACUGACCGAUAGUGAACCAGUACCGUGAGGGAAAGGCGAAAAGAACCCCUGUGAGGGGAGUGAAAUAGAACCUGAAACCGUAUACGUACAAGCAGUGGGAGCACCUUCGUGGUGUGACUGCGUACCUUUUGUAUAAUGGGUCAACGACUUAGUGUUGUAUGCAAGCUUAAACCGUUAGGUGUAGGCGCAGCGAAAGCGAGUCUGAAUAGGGCGACCGAGUAUGCAGCAUUAGACCCGAAGGCAAGUGAUCUAGGUAUGGGCAGGGUGAAGGUGCAGUAACAUGCACUGGAGGCCCGAACCGUUGAGCGUUGAAAAGCUCUCGGAUGACCUGUGCCUAGGGGUGAAAGGCCAAUCAAACUCGGAGAUAGCUGGUUCUCUGCGAAAUCUAUUUAGGUAGAGCGUCGAUCGAAUACUCUUGGGGGUAGAGCACUGACUGGGCUAGGGGUCCUCACCGGAUUACCAAACCUUAUCAAACUCCGAAUACCAAGAAGUACUAAUCGGCAGACACACGGCGGGUGCUAACGUCCGUCGUGGAGAGGGAAACAACCCAGACCGCCAGCUAAGGUCCCAAAAUAUUGCUAAGUGGGAAACGAUGUGGGAAGGCAUAGACAGCUAGGAGGUUGGCUUAGAAGCAGCCACCCUUUAAAGAA